rnacentral:rRNA from 1 species
UUAAGCGACUAAGCGUACACGGUGGAUGCCCUGGCAGUCAGAGGCGAUGAAGGACGUGCUAAUCUGCGAUAAGCGUCGGUAAGGUGAUAUGAACCGUUAUAACCGGCGAUUUCCGAAUGGGGAAACCCAGUGUGAUUCGUCACACUAUCAUUAACUGAAUCCAUAGGUUAAUGAGGCGAACCGGGGGAACUGAAACAUCUAAGUACCCCGAGGAAAAGAAAUCAACCGAGAUUCCCCCAGUAGCGGCGAGCGAACGGGGAGCAGCCCAGAGCCUGAAUCAGUGUGUGUGUUAGUGGAAGCGUCUGGAAAGGCGCGCGAUACAGGGUGACAGCCCCGUACACAAAAAUGCACAUACUGUGAGCUCGAUGAGUAGGGCGGGACACGUGGUAUCCUGUCUGAAUAUGGGGGGACCAUCCUCCAAGGCUAAAUACUCCUGACUGACCGAUAGUGAACCAGUACCGUGAGGGAAAGGCGAAAAGAACCCCGGCGAGGGGAGUGAAAAAGAACCUGAAACCGUGUACGUACAAGCAGUGGGAGCACGCUUAGGCGUGUGACUGCGUACCUUUUGUAUAAUGGGUCAGCGACUUAUAUUCUGUAGCAAGGUUAACCGAAUAGGGGAGCCGAAGGGAAACCGAGUCUUAACUGGGCGUUAAGUUGCAGGGUAUAGACCCGAAACCCGGUGAUCUAGCCAUGGGCAGGUUGAAGGUUGGGUAACACUAACUGGAGGACCGAACCGACUAAUGUUGAAAAAUUAGCGGAUGACUUGUGGCUGGGGGUGAAAGGCCAAUCAAACCGGGAGAUAGCUGGUUCUCCCCGAAAGCUAUUUAGGUAGCGCCUCGUGAAUUCAUCUCCGGGGGUAGAGCACUGUUUCGGCAAGGGGGUCAUCCCGACUUACCAACCCGAUGCAAACUGCGAAUACCGGAGAAUGUUAUCACGGGAGACACACGGCGGGUGCUAACGUCCGUCGUGAAGAGGGAAACAACCCAGACCGCCAGCUAAGGUCCCAAAGUCAUGGUUAAGUGGGAAACGAUGUGGGAAGGCCCAGACAGCCAGGAUGUUGGCUUAGAAGCAGCCAUCAUUUAAAGAAAGCGUAAUAGCUCACUGGUCGAGUCGGCCUGCGCGGAAGAUGUAACGGGGCUAAACCAUGCACCGAAGCUGCGGCAGCGACACUAUGUGUUGUUGGGUAGGGGAGCGUUCUGUAAGCCUGUGAAGGUGUACUGUGAGGUAUGCUGGAGGUAUCAGAAGUGCGAAUGCUGACAUAAGUAACGAUAAAGCGGGUGAAAAGCCCGCUCGCCGGAAGACCAAGGGUUCCUGUCCAACGUUAAUCGGGGCAGGGUGAGUCGACCCCUAAGGCGAGGCCGAAAGGCGUAGUCGAUGGGAAACAGGUUAAUAUUCCUGUACUUGGUGUUACUGCGAAGGGGGGACGGAGAAGGCUAUGUUGGCCGGGCGACGGUUGUCCCGGUUUAAGCGUGUAGGCUGGUUUUCCAGGCAAAUCCGGAAAACUAAGGCUGAGGCGUGAUGACGAGGCACUACGGUGCUGAAGCAACAAAUGCCCUGCUUCCAGGAAAAGCCUCUAAGCAUCAGGUAACAUCAAAUCGUACCCCAAACCGACACAGGUGGUCAGGUAGAGAAUACCAAGGCGCUUGAGAGAACUCGGGUGAAGGAACUAGGCAAAAUGGUGCCGUAACUUCGGGAGAAGGCACGCUGAUAUGUAGGUGAAGUCCCUCGCGGAUGGAGCUGAAAUCAGUCGAAGAUACCAGCUGGCUGCAACUGUUUAUUAAAAACACAGCACUGUGCAAACACGAAAGUGGACGUAUACGGUGUGACGCCUGCCCGGUGCCGGAAGGUUAAUUGAUGGGGUCAGCGCAAGCGAAGCUCUUGAUCGAAGCCCCGGUAAACGGCGGCCGUAACUAUAACGGUCCUAAGGUAGCGAAAUUCCUUGUCGGGUAAGUUCCGACCUGCACGAAUGGCGUAAUGAUGGCCAGGCUGUCUCCACCCGAGACUCAGUGAAAUUGAACUCGCUGUGAAGAUGCAGUGUACCCGCGGCAAGACGGAAAGACCCCGUGAACCUUUACUAUAGCUUGACACUGAACAUUGAGCCUUGAUGUGUAGGAUAGGUGGGAGGCUUUGAAGUGUGGACGCCAGUCUGCAUGGAGCCGACCUUGAAAUACCACCCUUUAAUGUUUGAUGUUCUAACGUUGACCCGUAAUCCGGGUUGCGGACAGUGUCUGGUGGGUAGUUUGACUGGGGCGGUCUCCUCCUAAAGAGUAACGGAGGAGCACGAAGGUUGGCUAAUCCUGGUCGGACAUCAGGAGGUUAGUGCAAUGGCAUAAGCCAGCUUGACUGCGAGCGUGACGGCGCGAGCAGGUGCGAAAGCAGGUCAUAGUGAUCCGGUGGUUCUGAAUGGAAGGGCCAUCGCUCAACGGAUAAAAGGUACUCCGGGGAUAACAGGCUGAUACCGCCCAAGAGUUCAUAUCGACGGCGGUGUUUGGCACCUCGAUGUCGGCUCAUCACAUCCUGGGGCUGAAGUAGGUCCCAAGGGUAUGGCUGUUCGCCAUUUAAAGUGGUACGCGAGCUGGGUUUAGAACGUCGUGAGACAGUUCGGUCCCUAUCUGCCGUGGGCGCUGGAGAACUGAGGGGGGCUGCUCCUAGUACGAGAGGACCGGAGUGGACGCAUCACUGGUGUUCGGGUUGUCAUGCCAAUGGCACUGCCCGGUAGCUAAAUGCGGAAGAGAUAAGUGCUGAAAGCAUCUAAGCACGAAACUUGCCCCGAGAUGAGUUCUCCCUGACUCCUUGAGAGUCCUGAAGGAACGUUGAAGACGACGACGUUGAUAGGCCGGGUGUGUAAGCGCAGCGAUGCGUUGAGCUAACCGGUACUAAUGAACCGUGAGGCUUAACCUU